rnacentral:lncRNA from 1 species
GCCAGGACGCAGACCAUGACUACUUUUGCCUCUGCACGUCUGUUCUGAUUUCUUUCUUCAUGUGGGAUGCCUCUCUAUCCUUCUCCUGCUUUUAAUAUGGAGCUUCAGUCUCUAAGCUAAAAGGCCAAGUCCAGAUUCACCUGCCAAUGAAGCUCUUUAAAUUAUCUCUUCUUUCUCAGGACUCACUGGCUAUCAGACAUUACUUUAGGUGAAGACUUUCCAGUCUGACUUCCCUCACCUGAGGAUUGUAAGGCCUCCCUAGCCACGUGGAACUGAGAGUCCAACUUAAACCUCUUUCUUUUGUAAAUUGGCCAGUCUCAGGU